rnacentral:rRNA from 1 species
GUGUCAGCAGCCGCGGUAAUACGAAGGGGGCUAGCGUUGUUCGGAAUUACUGGGCGUAAAGCGCGCGUAGGCGGCUUUGCAAGCCAGAGGUGAAAUGCCUGAGCUCAACUUAGGAAUUGCCUUUGGGACUGCGAGGCUUCGAGGACUGGAGAGGUGAGUGGAAUUCCCAGUGUAGAGGUGAAAUUCGUAGAUAUUGGGAAGAACACCAGUGGCGAAGGCGGCUCACUGGCCAGUUUCUGACGCUAAAGUGCGAAAGCGUGGGGAUCAAACAGGAUUAGAUACCCCCGUAGUCC